AUUGAACGCUGGCGGCAGGCCUAACACAUGCAAGUCGAACGGUAACAGGAAGCAGCUUGCUGCUUUGCUGACGAGUGGCGGACGGGUGAGUAAUGUCUGGGAAACUGCCCGAUGGAGGGGGAUAACUACUGGAAACGGUAGCUAAUUCCGCAUAACGUCGCAAGACCAAAGAGGGGGACCUUAGGGCCUCUUGCCAUCGGAUGUGCCCAGAUGGGAUUAGCUAGUAGGUGGGGUAACGGCUCACCUAGGCGACGAUCCCUAGCUGGUCUGAGAGGAUGACCAGCCACACUGGAACUGAGACACGGUCCAGACUCCUACGGGAGGCAGCAGUGGGGAAUAUUGCACAAAGGGCGCAAGCCUGAUGCAGCCAUGCCGCGUGUAUGAAGAAGGCCUUCGGGUUGUAAAGUACUUUCAGCGGGGAGGAAGGGAGUAAAGUUAAUACCUUUGCUCAUUGACGUUACCCGCAGAAGAAGCACCGGCUAACUCCGUG
rnacentral:rRNA from 1 species